AUUGAACGCUGGCGGCAGGCCUAACACAUGCACGUCGAGCGAGCGGCGGACGGGUGAGUAAUGUAUGGGGACUGCCCGAUAGAGGGGGAUAACUACUGGAAACGGUAGCUAAUACCGCAUACUAUCGGAUAACCCAUAUGGGAUUAGCUAGUAGGUGAGGUAAUGGCUCACCUAGGCGACGAUCCCUCGCUGGUCUGAGCGGAUGAUCAGCAACACUGGGACUUAGACACGGCCCAGACUCCUCGGGAGGCAGCAGGGGGGAAUAUUGCACAAUGGGCGCAAGCCUGAGGCAGCCAUGCCGCGUGUAUGAAGAAGGCCCUAGGGUUGUAAAGUACUUUCAGUCGGGAGGCGUUACCGACAGAAGAAGCACCGGCUAACUCCGUGCCAGCAGCCGCGGUAAUUC
rnacentral:rRNA from 1 species